rnacentral:lncRNA from 10 species
GAAAUCUAUCGUGUAACUCUGCUGCUAAAGCCCUUUCUCUCCUAUCCUCUCUUGGUGUAUGGCAGAUGAACCUGACAGCAAUAACAUAAGUGUAUCCCAAGAAUGACACUGUAUGGCAGAUGAACCUGACAGCAACAAGUUAAGCAUACCCUGAGAAUGACCAUAUGGUCUAAGAAGAAUGCAUAUUCAGAGUUGGGAGCUACAGAAUCUGGGUGUGGCCAACCUGGAGAUUCAUUCCUUGUCUAUGAGGGACAUCUGAGCCUUCAGCCCAUCCUGUGGAAUGCAGGCAAUACAGGGGACCAAGGCCCAUUGUUUUAGAUUAAAUGAAGAUUUCCAAGUGGAGGUUGCUAAGUGAAAAUGCUGUAUAAAUUGCAUGCUUUUAAUAAGUGGUUGCAGUUCUCCUCUCCAGCCCACUGCCACUGGACCACCCCUGUAUGUAAGUUUCCUCAACAAACCCUAUGUAUUCUUCACUGGCUCUAGGUCUCUUCUUGGGCCUCUUAAACAUGGUGCGGUUUCUGCUGAAGUCAUAGGGGUCCAGCAUGUCAAAGCGUCAAAUCAGCAUUGUAAUCUAAAGACUUUUCUCACCCAAUCCUAUUCCACAUCCCUACUCCCACCUUGCUUUUUGCCUCUACAGUCACAAUAAAGCUCUCCCAGU